rnacentral:tmRNA from 1 species
GGGAUAGUAAAGGUUUCGACAGGGAUCUUGCAGCUGGAGAAGCUAUCCGCAGGCGAUGCGUCAAAUCGCAACAAUAAAUAUAAACGCUGAAGAUAAUUUAGCAUUUGCUGCCUAAUGGCAGCUGUCUGACUUAGUGCACCUACACAUUAAGACUCAGGCAUCGACUAUGUAGGAAACGACUCAUGCAAAGCUUUGAGCAUGAGGGCGUAAUAUGAAGCUACUGAAUGUACUGGGGUGUUUGUUUCCUGAUACAGGAGGGAAUGUAAGGCUUGCCUUGAAAUAACAAACUAUGAUAGUAGAAGGACAGGGAAUGGGUUUUUGGACGCGGGUUCGACUCCCGCCUAUUCCAUCC